AACGAACGCUGGCGGCAUGCCUAACACAUGCAAGUCGAACGAGACCUUCGGGUCUAGUGGCGCACGGGUUCGUAACGCGUGGGAACCUGCCCUUAGGUUCGGAAUAACUCCCCGAAAGGGGUGCUAAUACCGGAUAAUGUCUUCGGACCAAAGAUUUAUCGCCUUUGGAUGGGCCCGCGUUGGAUUAGCUGGUUGGUAGGGUAAAAGCCUACCAAGGCGACGAUCCAUAGCUGGUCUGAGAGGAUGAUCAGCCACACUGGGACUGAGACGCGGCCCAGACUCCUACGGGAGGCAGCAGUGGGGAAUAGUGGACAGUGGGCUAAAGCCUGAUCCAGCAAGGCCGCGUGAGUGAUGAAGGCCUUAGGGUUGUAAAGCUCUUUUAACCGGGAUGAUAAUGACAGUACCGGGAGAAUAAGCUCCGGCUAACUCCGUG
rnacentral:rRNA from 1 species